AGUGAACGCUGGCGGUAGGCCUAACACAUGCAAGUCGAACGGCAGCACAGGAGAGCUUGCUCUCUGGGUGGCGAGUGGCGGACGGGUGAGGAAUACAUCGGAAUCUACUCUGUCGUGGGGGAUAACGUAGGGAAACUUACGCUAAUACCGCAUACGACCUACGGGUGAAAGCAGGGGACCUUCGGGCCUUGCGCGAUUGAAUGAGCCGAUGUCGGAUUAGCUAGUUGGCGGGGUAAAGGCCCAACAAGGCGACGAUCCGGAGCUGGUCUGAGAGGAUGAGCAGCCACACUGGAACUGAGACACGGUCCAGACUCCUACGGGAGGCAGCAGUGGGGAAUAUUGGACAAUGGGCGCAAGCCUGAUCCAGCCAUACCGCGUGGGUGAAGAAGGCCUUCGGGUUGUAAAGCCCUUUUGUUGGGAAAGAAAUCCAGCUGGCUAAUACCCGGUUGGGAUGACGGUACCCAAAGAAUAAGCACCGGCUAACUUCGUGCCAGCAGCCGCCGUAA
rnacentral:rRNA from 1 species